rnacentral:rRNA from 1 species
CACUAUGCCUAGUCUUAAACUUAGAUAGAACCCUACCUAUUCUGUCCGCCCGGGUACUACGAGCACUAGCUUAAAACCCAAAGGACUUGGCGGCGCUUCACACCCACCUAGAGGAGCCUGUUCUAGAACCGAUGACCCCCGUUCAACCUCACCUUCUCUUGUUCCCCCCGCCUAUAUACCGCCGUCGUCAGCCCACCCUGUGAAGGCCCAGUAGUGAGCAAAAUUGGCAUAGCCCAAAACGUCAGGCCGAGGUGUAGCGUAUGAGAAGGGAAGAAAUGGGCUACAAUUGCUAAAACAGCUAAAACGAAUUGCAAUGCUGAAACUGCACACAUGAAGGAGGAUUUAGAAGUAAGGGGGCAAACAGAGUGUUCCCCUGAAAUGGUUCUGAAGCGUGCACACACCGCCCGUCACUCUCCCCAAGUUAGAACAUUACCUAGUAACUAAAUACCCACAUCCUACAAAGGGGAGGCAAGUCGUAA